UGUGCGGUGUGUCGGGGGUGUCCUGGGUGUGCGGGGACCAUUACAGCAAGUCACACAUGGUCCCCUUUGUAAAGCCAGUCUGUCAGAGCUUGCCUUAGCACAAGAAAAUAACGCCAAGCCGUGGGACAGCGAUGGACGGCUGCUGCUCUCUUGACAUUGGACGUCAGGGAGGGACUCCAUGAUGGACACAGGAAUGGGCACAAUGCCCCGGUGCUGACUGGAUACCAGGACCUGUGGACGUGGUGUGUUUUUAUUAUCAUUCUCACAGGAUUCCUGAACACCGGAUUGUGCUGCUGCUACUCCCCCUGCUGAGGGUGUGCAUUCUCCAGCCGGUCCAGAUUGCACAUUCGGUUCGUCAGGAGAGCUGUGAGAAACGACAUCGGAGAAGAGCCGAGUGACAUUCCAGUCAGCAUGAGGAAUGAAGCCACAGGUGGUUUGGUGGUCCUUGAGUUGGAUGAAUUUACUCGCGUCCGCAGUCGCAGCAGAGGAGGCCCACUAGCAGUGCUACGACGACACCCGUGUCCCAGGACCCCUGGGAGAAGGUUGAACGAUCCUAGCUGUUACACUGUUAGGAAAUGGCUCAGGAUCAGAAAACACCCCAUGGAUUCCCUUCCAUGAUCCGGACAUCCAGAUACGGUGGCUUGAUCUGAAUACCAGCAUUACUUUAAAACCCCUAGGAAGCACUCAUGUUUAUGUGGGGGAGGGAGAAUUGGGAUUACAGGUAAACAUCUCAGUCCCCACGGGGAGGGAAAGUAAUUGGAUGGUGGGGAUACAAACUGAAGGCUAUUUUGGAGACAGCACCACAAUUGCAUACUAGCCCUUACUCCCCUAGAUUUGGGAUGGGUUUGUAAAAUCAGGAACCUUGGUAACAGUUAUUGUCGUAUACUGCCCACACACACACAGAGGCAUUCCCAGAUGAUUGUACAUGGAAGUGGGAAAAAGAGUAUGUAUUUAUGAGAAAUACACCAAGGUCCAUGAAGAAACCUGCACUGUUCAAGGUCCAGACCACACUGGUGAAAGUUUUAGUAAGCCCCCUUCUGGUAAACAUAAAAAUUAACAUGGAUUGGACAAGGUUAAAUGUUUCUAACAUAGAGCCCAAAUGUAUACCUUACUCCCUUUCCAUUCUUUCAGCGUGGAUAAGAACACACCAGCAUUCCCCUCUCACUAGGGCCAAAAGAGAUCUUAUGGAUACAAUGCUGGGGAGUUUUGGUGUGGGAGCAGGACUCAUGAAUUCUGUGGAUUUAAAAGCAAUUAAAAAUAAAUUAAGCUCUCUGUCCCAGCUACAGGACAGCCUGAUACAGAAACAGAUACAUGCUAAUGUGGAUCUAGUCCAAAUAGGUCUUGGUAAUUUAAAAGCUAGAUAGAACCUAUAGUAAUGGCUCAAUGCUACCACCUGGCUGCUGCAUAAGAAACAGGUAAAAAUGCAAAACCAUGCAUAGCCAUUUGAUGUACUGAAAUGCAGAUACUUGCUUUGUCCACAUUGGCACACGAAAAGUUUUGGGUAAUAUCAGGAAACACCAAGGUUUUAAUACACUUGUUGAAGCAAAGAAAAAGGUCAUUGUUUGAUACUGCAUCUACUCAUAUUGACAAGUAUGUUUCUAGCAUGGUAAAACCAGACCUUUUAAUUGGAGAAAUUGUUGUCAGGAUUGCACAUUAACAGUCUCUGGAAGCAAAGAUAUGGAAAGUUAGCCCACUCCCCCUAUUGCACAUUGGAUAGUUCUGGCUACCCCGGAUCUCGAGCCAGUGGGCUGGGGAGGGAGGGAAGCUAUUGGACACGAGAGGUUAUACCGAGUGGACUCCUCAAAAGUGGGUGUGCUUGUCCCUACCUGUUGCUCCAGAGCCCUGUAGUAAAGACAUUUCACUAGGAUCGUGUAUGUGGGAUGAAUUAAACAAUGAAACCAAAGUAUUAUAUAAUGAGCAAUGUGUAUGUGUUAAUUCCUGGGAGGAGGUGUUUUGGGAGGAUGGAAGUGUUAGCAACCCACCAGUGGACAAAUGUAAAUGCAAUGUAAAUGCUGUGUUUACCAAUAAUCACACCUACUAUUUGGCACAGCCAGAAAAGUCUCUGCUUCCUGUAAGCACUGAUUUAGCUGAGUUCUCUGUCAGUCUUGGCAUUGAAUAGCAGGAAUUCACCACUCACCUGUUUAAAAGGUAAAGAGGUAACACAGUUCCUAGAACAGACAAAAGGCAAUGUGGGAAACCGAACAAUCCAUAUUAUGCAUGCAGACGGGGACAUGUUAAGAAUUGCCACUGCAGAAAGAUAACAGUUUACAUAUUUUCUGGAUGGUCUCCCACAACUACUGGCAAACUAUCUGUAAUGCAACAUCCCCUACUAAUUGUUUUGGUUUUGAAUUGUAUUUGUCUAACUGGGAUGUUUGGAAUGUGUGUAAGACGAGAGCCACAGGCCCAAAUUGUCUCCCCGUACUUUCUAUUAAACAGAUUAAAUAAGAAGUGACACUAGUGAUUAACAGGUUUCAGAGUAGCAGCCGUGUUAGUCUGUAUUCGCAAAAAGAAAAGGAGGACUUGUGGCACCUUAGAGACUAACAGAUUUAUUUGAGCAUAAGCUUUCGUGAACUACAGCAUCUGAUGAAGUGAGCUGUAGCUCACGAAAGCUUAUGCUCAAAUAAAUUUGUUAGUCUCUAAGGUGCCACAAGUAUUUCUUUUUACUAGUGAUUAAUAAUCUUACUGUCAAAAAGGGGGAUUAUGUUGAAUUAAAAUUAAUUAAUACAUUAAUUAUUUUCGGGAAAAUAUGGUCCAGUACAGACCCCGGAUUUGGCUUGUAUUAUUAGAAAGAAAUAUGUCUCUCAGCCUGUUCUCAUCCUGCUGAGUUUCUGCUAAAUGAAGCAGGCCUGUUAGUUUGCAAGGUCUGUGCUAAUUGAAGAAAAACAUUCAGCGACAAAGAGUUUGUCCUAAAAGUGAUAUGAUAAUAACAUGUUACAAGUGUUUUUUCUGAACUCAGGAACAAGAUUUGUUGUUCGUCCACUUUUACAUUCCUAUCUUGCUUGUUUUCUUUUCAUGUGUGACCAGUGGCAUGGAUAGAUUCAUUGGAGUCUCUCAUGCCCCAAUGAUUUGAAAAUAGUUACGUUAAGUGAAAUAGGGUGUGAUUGUAAAUGUAUGUUCGAAUGAGUACUAAAAGGUUGAAGUGCCAGCCUAACAAAUAAUAACUACCCAGGAACAUUCGGCCAAAGAAUGUGCAGGAUGGAGAUUACCGGAUGACUCCGCAGGGCAAACCGGAAUCCAUCCCCAACUACCCCAAGGACAGAGGGGCCAGAGAACCGAAGAACAAGAUAACAACAAGCUGUCACUGCUGUGCCAUCUGCGUGAUGGACUAUCAUUUUAAACAUGAGAACAGUGAUUGAUUAUCACUUCAAACGUGAAAACAGCAUGACAAAGCAAACCCUAUGGAUUUGAAUGAGGAUGAACUCCUAUAAAGACAUACUCUAAAAACUGAGAACUUUGAGUCUGAUACUGCAACCACCCUCCAGGAGCAUUGGAUGCGCAUCUGACAAGACUUGGCUCCAUCCUCGUGUCCAGGCCAGUAACUUGGCACGAGCAACCUCCGGGCUGGUAACUAUAACAACCUUGCAGGACUCUAUGUAUGAGUGAAUGAAUGUGUGAGAGAAUGGAAUGUUACAGCUAUAACUGAUCGCUUACUUUAAUUCUUUCUGUAUUCACAAUAAACAUGGCAUAUUGCCUUAUCCCUUAAAAAA